AUACGGAGGAUCCGAGCGUUAUCCGGAUUUAUUGGGUUUAAAGGGUGCGCAGGCGGCCAUUUAAGUCAGCGGUUAAAUCGUGGGGCUCAACACCAUUCUGCCGUUGAUACUGGGUGGCUUGAUUGCGGUCGAGGUUGGCGGAAUUCGUUGUGUAGCGGUGAAAUGCAUAGAUAUGACGAAGAACACCGAUUGCGUAGGCAGCUGACCAGACCGCAAAUGACGCUCAUGCACGAAAGUGCGGGGAUCGAACAGGAUUAGAUACCCUGGUAGUCCGCACAGUAAACGAUGAAUACUUGUUUUCGGCGAUAUAAUGUCGGAGGCAAAGCGAAAGCGAUAAGUAUUCCACCUGGGGAGUACGCCGGCAACGGUGAAACUCAAAUGAAUUGACGGGG
rnacentral:rRNA from 1 species